rnacentral:misc_RNA from 1 species
GCCCCAGAAAACAAAAGUAAGGCCCUCUCGUUGUCAUUUGAAUGUUAGGUUUUUAAUUCAGUGAAAGAAUCCCUCACAUAAUUUUGGUGCUAAUGCUACUUCAAAGACUANNNNNNNNNNAAGCUCAUGAUAUAAACCACCUUCGUCGAGUAAUUGCCUCUUGAAUCUCCUUGUGCACAUGGGCAAUCAAAAGUUUAUCUUUCAAGUUUGUGUCGAUGCAUAUGAUUUUCUGAAAAAUUAAACUAAUUAAAAUA